UUAAACUUUCUCUUGUGUAGAAGUAUUGAA
rnacentral:piRNA from 1 species